rnacentral:rRNA from 1 species
AUGAACGCUGGCGGCGUGCUUAACACAUGCAAGUCGAACGAUUAAAGCUCACUUCGGUGAGUGUAUAGAGUGGCGAACGGGUGAGUAACACGUGGGAAACCUGCCCCUUUCUUCGGGAUAACUUCGGGAAACCGUUGCUAAUACCGGAUACUCCGGGAUGGUCGCAUGGCCGACCCGGGAAAGCUUUAUGUGGAAAGGGAUGGUCCCGCGGCCCAUUAGCUUGUUGGUGGGGUAAUGGCUUACCAAGGCGAUGAUGGGUAGCCG